UAGGGAGUGGUGUAAUAGGAAACACGGAGGGUUUUGAUCUCUUAAAUAUAGGUUCGAGUCCUAUCUUUCUAA
rnacentral:tRNA from 1 species